UACGUAGGGGGCAAGCGUUGUCCGGAUUUAUUGGGCGUAAAGAGCUCGUAGGUGGUUUGGUAAGUCGGAUGUGAAAUCUCCAGGCUCAACCUGGAGGGGUCAUUCGAUACUGCCAUGACUAGAGGUCGGUAGGGGAGUGUGGAAUUCCUGGUGGAGCGGUGAAAUGCGCAGAUAUCAGGAGGAACACCCGUAGCGAGGCGGCACUCUGGGCCGAUUCUGACACUGAGGAGCGAAAGCGUGGGGAGCGAACAGG
rnacentral:rRNA from 1 species